UACUCUUUUAUUGCUAUCCGCCCCUUUCUUUGUUACACAAAACAACAUUCAAACCUCUCAAACAAAGGCAAUCAGACACCAAACCUCAGAGAGAAACACCUUACCAUAGUCCACCGUACGGAGGACAUUGCUAUGGCCAAGGCCACGGCCACCACCACAAAGCACCACUGGUACAGCCGCAGAUCACAGCCGCAUUGCUGCCCUUUUGGGUGCUGAAGUUAUCCUUACUGAUUUGCCAAAUUGAUUAAGGUUGCUGAGGAAGAAUGUUGAAACUAAUCUGUACGGAAAUGUUUGUGGUUCUACAGCAGUGAGUCAACUCAUUUGGGGAGAGGAGCCUGUUAUAGAAUUGAUUCGACCAUUACUUGAUUAUGGUACAAAGAUCUUAUAUCUUCUCUUCCACAUAACAAAGGUUUUAAAAAUUGGCUGUUUCUAUAACCAAGUAGGUAUAAUGGGCGUUACAACUCCGUUGAGUGCCUGUUACGGUGCCGUUAGAAUUGUUAUGGCUAUUGUAAUCAAUUUUGCUAAGAGCCAAUACUAGCUCUUGGUUGUUGGAUUUUGCACUUGGACCUUCCACAUGGUGUAUCUUGACCUACGAAUUUAGUCCCAUGCUCCAUAUACAUUUUCAUCAAAUUACCUAGUAUUUGCUUAAUGCUUCUGGGCCAAGUUGUGAUAUUUUAUGAGUUGUUUUGGUGCUCAUUUAAAGUUUCUGAAUUUUAGAGUUUCUUUUCUUUUC